ensembl:lncRNA
AUCAAGUACUACGUGACCUGUGGAUACUCGUGUGUCCAGCUUGCUUGGCUGCUUGGAGUAUCUGAGUGAACCAUCCGAAGAAGACUGGAACAGCAUGGAUUAAGGAUGCUUGGAAUAACCACAAAUUAAGGACCACGGGUAGCCAAUCCCCUCAACUGUUGAGGACAACUUUUCAAAAUGCCGAUGAUCCAGAACAGGUGAGUGAAGAUUUUGCAGUCCCACAAAUACAACUUCAAAAAGAGUUGACUGCUGCAGAGAUUGAUACCUUGCCCAAUCCAAAUGUUAUUUUCCCAGAAACAGUGGAUGCUUACUGUGAAACGGUGCAACUGUUAACUCAUUUAUUGGGAUAAAUGAAAUAGUCACCCAAACAAUAUGCUUGAACAAUGGAUAUCUCAAUGGAUUUCAACACAGUGUCAUACAUUGUUCUGUGAAUUAAUUGGAGCUGCUAGAUUUCC